CCUAGUGUGGCAUAGUGGUUUGAGUGUUGGACUACGGCUCUGGAAACCAGGAUUCGAAUCCCUGCUCAACCA